UACGUAGGUGGCAAGCGUUGUCCGGAAUUAUUGGGCGUAAAGCGCGCGCAGGCGGUCCUUUAAGUCUGCUGUGAAAGCCCACGGCUCAACCGUGGAGGGUCAUUGGAAACUGGGGGACUUGAGUACAGGAGAGAAGAGUGGAAUUCCACGUGUAGCGGUGAAAUGCGUAGAGAUGUGGAGGAACACCAGUGGCGAAGGCGACUAUCUGGACGAACACUGACGCUGAGACACGAAAGCGUGGGGAGCAAACAGG
rnacentral:rRNA from 1 species